UACGAAGGGGGCUAGCGUUGCUCGGAAUGACUGGGCGUAAAGGGCGCGUAGGCGGUUUGUACAGUCAGAUGUGAAAUUCCUGGGCUUAACCUGGGGGCUGCAUUUGAUACGUGCAGACUUGAGUAUGGGAGAGGGUACUGGAAUUCCCGGUGUAGCGGUGAAAUGCGCAGAGAUCGGGAGGAACACCAAUGGCGAAAGCAGGUACCUGGACCAUUACUGACACUCAGCUGCGAAAGCUAGGGGAGCAAACAGG
rnacentral:rRNA from 1 species